UACGAAGGGGGCUAGCGUUGUUCGGAAUCACUGGGCGUAAAGCGCACGUAGGCGGAUCUUUAAGUCAGAGGUGAAAUCCCAAGGCUCAACCUUGGAACUGCCUUUGAUACUGGGGAUCUUGAGUCCGGGAGAGGUGAGUGGAACUGCGAGUGUAGAGGUGAAAUUCGUAGAUAUUCGCAAGAACACCAGUGGCGAAGGCGGCUCACUGGCCCGGUACUGACGCUGAGGUACGAAAGCGUGGGGAGCAAACAGGG
rnacentral:rRNA from 1 species